rnacentral:rRNA from 1 species
CCUGAAAGGGCGGGGUGCCCGCAAGGGAGCGUGGAGACAGGUGGUGCAUGGCUGUCGUCAGCUCGUGUCGUGAGAUGUUGGGUUAAGUCCCGCAACGAGCGCAACCCUCACCCCUAGUUGCCACCGGGUAAUGCCGAGCACUCGAGGGGAACUGCCAGCGUCAAGCUGGAGGAAGGCGGGGAUGACGUCAAGUCAUCAUGCCCCUUACGCCCUGGGCUACACACGUGCUACAAUGGCCAGUACAAAGGGAUGCGGGACCGCGAGGUGGAGCUAAUCCCAAAAAGCUGGUCUAAGUUCAGAUUGCAGUCUGCAACUCGACUGCAUGAAGGAGGAAUCGCUAGUAAUCGCGCAUCAGCACGGCGCGGUGAAUACGUUCCCGGGCCUUGUACACACCGCCCAUCACACCACGAAAGCUUA